rnacentral:rRNA from 1 species
AUCAUGGAGAGUUUGAUCCUGGCUCAGAACGAACGCCGGCGGCGCGUCUUAAGCAUGCAAGUCGGGCGGGAUUCGGGUGCUUGCACC